CGGAGGGUGCAAGCGUUAUCCGGAUUCACUGGGUUUAAAGGGUGCGUAGGCGGGUUGGUAAGUCAGUGGUGAAAUCCCCGGGCUUAACUUGGGAACUGCCAUUGAUACUAUCAGUCUUGAAUAUCGUGGAGGUUAGCGGAAUAUGUCAUGUAGCGGUGAAAUGCUUGGAUAUGACAUAGAACACCAAUUGCGAAGGCAGCUGGCUACACGAAUAUUGACACUGAGGCACGAAAGCGUGGGGAUCAAACAGGAUUAGAUACCCUGGUAGUCCACGCCCUAAACUAUGGAUACUCGACAUCAGCGAUACACUGUUGGUGUCCGAGCGAAAGCAUUAAGUAUCCCACCUGGGAAGUACGAUCGCAAGAUUG
rnacentral:rRNA from 1 species